AUUGAACGCUGGCGGCAGGCCUAACACAUGCAAGUCGAGCGAGGUAGCAAUACCUAGCGGCGGACGGGUGAGUAACGCGUGGGAACGUGCCCCUUGGUACGGAAUAGCCCCGGGAAACUGGGAGUAAUACCGUAUGAGCUCUACGGAGGAAAGAUUUAUCGCCAAGGGAUCGGCCCGCGUUGGAUUAGGUAGUUGGUGGGGUAAUGGCCUACCAAGCCGACGAUCCAUAGCUGGUUUGAGAGGAUGAUCAGCCACACUGGGACUGAGACACGGCCCAGACUCCUACGGGAGGCAGCAGUGGGGAAUCUUAGACAAUGGGCGCAAGCCUGAUCUAGCCAUGCCGCGUGAGCGAUGAAGGCCUUAGGGUUGUAAAGCUCUUUCAGCUGGGAAGAUAAUGACUGUACCAGCAGAAGAAGCCCCGGCUAACUCCGUGCCAGCAGCCGCAGUAA
rnacentral:rRNA from 1 species